GGCGAUGAACAGAGGUUCGAGCACGACGAAGCACUGCUACACUAUAUUACGAGUAUGAACGAACAAGAACAUGAUUGUCUCGUCCCUUACAGCCAUAUUCAAACACCGAUCCGUUUCUGAUGGUGAAAAUUCGUUGUCCUCUUUAGCAUUUUGAAGGAUUUUUGAUUGAAUUACACAGUUCCAUGUCUGAAAAAAGGGACCCCUCUGUUGAAAAAAAUGAAAAGUUGUUUGAUCAUUCUCCAUUUCUUCAAUUUUUCUUCGUUUUCUCUCUGAUAUAAUAUUAAAUUUCCUCCUACUCGUGCCUCCUCCCUUAUUUGUGUACUGCACGCUUUAUAUUGCAUAAAAUAAAGCCCUAGAAAAACCUUAGCCACCUGCCACUGCCAUUGGAGUUUUUCAAUUGCGAGUAUUGUAGUUUUUUAUUCAUUGCAUUGUUCCUCAGGCUAACUGGAAUUCUGAAUAUUUAGAUUUCUGUAUGCACCUGAAUAAUCCGGCCCAAUUUUUACUAUAUUGAGGUGCAGUUUUGUUUGUCUUUCCACGCGGUCGUUCAUGGAUGUGAUCGAUUCAACCAAUUUCAAUUUUGUAAUGAUUUGUGAUGCCGUGGAAUUAGGAGGGUUAGCUUUGGUUCUACGACUUGGAGGAAUUGGGUGUUACAGCAAGAAUUUGAUUUAUUUUUUCUUUUAGUUUUGCAUUUUUGAAAAAUGAAAUCUGAGUUCUGAUCAAUUGGAGAUGGAGAACAGCGGUGGAGGUGACGAUCAGGGAUCAGGAUGGUUCGAAGUGAAAAAGAAACAUAGGAGUAGUUCUAAGUUUUCCCUACAGAGCUGGGUUGGAGGAUUUUCGGGAAAAAAUUCAUCUAAUUCUUCGGGCAGUCCACAUCUGGUGAAUAAAAAUGCCCGAAAUGAUAGGUCAAAGUCUCAUCCUCCAACAUCAGGAGGAAGCUAUGCUGUUCAUACCCAAAUUAAUACUGAGAAAUAUAUUUCUACAUCAACUGGGGACGAUGGCGGUCCACACUUGUCUGAUACGGUCAGACAAGACAUUGAAGUCCCCAAGUCAUCCGUUUUGCAUGUUAUAGAUUCUCAUGGUGGAAGUGGAGAAUAUGGGAAUGUCUCCCACAAAGAUAUCCCUGGAGUGGCUCAGAAAAUCAAAUGGGGUGAUCUUGAGGAUGGUAGUUUGGUAUUGAAUAACAGUGCUAAUGGAGUUGAAAUAAAGUUUGGUAAUAUUGGAGAGGUUGAUCUAGGCGUCUCUGAAAAGAAUGAGGGUAAGCAUGACUUGGCUUCACACAUCUCUUCCCCUGAUACACAAGUGAUCAAAUUGGGUGCAUUAUCAGUCAGAGAAGAGGAGGCCUCUCAUCAGGCUCUUUUAUCAACUGAUGAGGUCAAAUUUUGCCAAGUUAGCCACCAAGAUUUCAAUAGAGAAUUUAGAGAAGAUCUGGAAUUAUUGAGUAAUAGUGAAGCAACAGUCUGUCCAAGUACCGACGACUCAAAUUGCAAGGAUAUAGGCACUGAACACAACAAACUUAUAAAAGAUUACAGUUCAAGUUUUAACUCUCCCUCUAGUGAGGAAGCUGGAACUGAGCCAAAAGUCCAGAAGGCUGUUGAGUUACCUGAGCCUGAGGUAGAAAAUCCAGAGCUCCAUGAAGCAGCUGGUAAGAGUGAGUUGUCUAGUUCGCCAUUGAUUGUUCAGGAGGCUGAAUUACUCUCAACUGAAACUAAAGAACCUGAAAAUUCAGGGGGUUCCUCUGGUCCGGUUGAAGAUGCUCAAAUUGAACAAGGGAGUGGAACUCAUAAUGUGCAAGUUGUGAGUGUGCCCAGUGAAGGUGAGACAGGUGAGAGUAAAGAAAGGUUUAGGCAGCGGCUCUGGUGUUUCCUUUUUGAGAAUCUUAAUCGAGCUGUAGAUGAACUCUAUCUCCUUUGUGAACUGGAAUGUGACUUGGAACAGAUGAAAGAAGCUAUUCUUGUUCUUAAAGAGGCUACAUCUGAUUUUAAAGAUCUAAAUGCUAGGGUGGAGGAGUUUGAAGAGGUGAAGAGGUUGUCUUCUCAGUCUGUUGAUGGAAUGCCAAUCACUAUGAGGAGUGACCAUUGUAGGCCACAUGCUCUCUCUUGGGAGGUCCGGAGAAUGACAAAUUCUCCUCAUAAAGCAGAGAUUUUAUCAUCAUCGCUUGAGGCAUUUAAGAAAAUUCGGCAAGAGAGAGCCAACAUGCUUGAAGCAAGCAAAAAUGUCUCUGGGACUGAGUGUCCACAGUUUAUGGAUCAGAUGAAGAAAACAUCUACAGUAAAUAAUAUACUGUCUCAUGCUGCAGAUUCUGCAUUAAAGACAACAGAAAGUAAAGGUGCAGAUCACACUCCAGGGAAUCUUAGUGGAAAAGAAAAGAAUAUUGAGUCAAUCGGUACUGAGAAGGUUAAUGUUGUGCAAAAUGGACGUUCACGCCCACAUAGUUCCUUGUCUUCUUCUAUAAAUACGUCCAAGCCACCUCUUGCUGUAAAAUUUAAGCGAGAACAAGUAGAAUCUGAUGUAGAAAAGCUACUUCCUAAAAGAGAACGAGCACUAGCAGAAGGUAUGUGUGAGAAAAAUCAGAAAGCUACAGAUAAUUCGAAAAGACAAGCAACUGUUCCUGAAAAAGACAAGGAAAAGGAGAAGAGGAAUAUGGCUGCUCGGAAAUCCAUGGAUGCAUGGAAAGAAAAGAGGAAUUGGGAAGAUAUACUUUCAUCAUCUGUUCGUAUUAGUUCUCGCGUUUCACAUUUACCAGGCAUGGCCAGGAAAAGUGCUGAGCGUGUACGUGUGCUGCACGAUAAGCUAAUGUCCCCUGACAAGAAGAAGAAAACUUCUUUAGAUGUCAAAAGAGAGGCAGAAGAAAAGCAUGCUCGUGCAAUGAAAAUUAGAAGUGAUCUAGAGAAUGAAAGGGUUCAGAAACUACAGCGUACUUCAGAGAAAUUAAUUCGUGUAAAUGAAUGGCAGGCUGUACGCACUAUGAAAUUACGGGAAGGAAUGUAUGCUCGUCACCAGCGCAGUGAAUCUCGGCAUGAAGCUUUCCUAGCUCAAGUUGUGAAGAGAGCUGGUGAUGAAAGUAGUAAGGUCAAUGAGGUUCGUUUCAUCACCUCCUUAAAUGAAGAAAAUAAAAAGAUUAUAUUGCGGCAGAAGCUUCAUGGUUCUGAAUUAAGGAGAGCUGAAAAGCUUCAAGUAAUGAAAAUUAAACAAAAGGAAGAUAUGGCUAGAGAAGAAGCAGUGUUAGAACGAAAGAAAUUGAUUGAAGCUGAAAAAUUGCAGCGUCUUGCUGAAACACAGAGGAAAAAAGAAGAGGCUCAUGUUCGAAGGGAAGAAGAACGAAAAGCAUCAAGCGCGGCAAGGGAGGCGAGGGCCAUGGAACAGCUUCGAAGGAAGGUUGAAAGAGCAAGAGCCCAGCAAGAAGAAGCUGAACUUAUGGCCCAGAAAUUGGCUGAGCGACUUAGUGAAAGUGAACAACGGCGGAAGUUUUAUUUGGAGCAAAUACGAGAGAGGGCUUCUAUGGAUUUUAGGGACCAAUCUUCACCCUUGCUGCGACGAAUUGUGCAUAAGGAUGGUCAGAGUAGAUCGACACCGAACAAUAAUGGUGAUGAGCAGGCACCAAGUAGCUCUGACUUGGAUUCUGGUCUUGCAAUGGGUAAGACGACGAUGCAACAACACAUGAAACGAAAGAUCAAAAGAAUCCGACAGAGGCUUAUGGCUCUGAAGUAUGAAUUUAUUGAGCCCGUUACUGGUGCUGAGAAUAUUGGCAUUGGAUAUAGAACAUCCAUAGGAACUGCAAGGGCAAAAAUAGGUAGGUGGCUUCAAGAACUUCAAAAACUUCGCCAAGCAAGGAAAGAAGGGGCUGCAAGUUUAGGGCUGAUAAUUGCUGAAAUGAUCAAGUAUUUGGAUGGAAGGGAACUCGAGCUGCAAGCUUCUCGCCAAGCUGGCUUACUUGAUUUUAUUGCUUCGGCUCUUCCUGCUUCUCACACAUCUAAACCUGAAGCCUGUCAAGUGAUGAUACAUCUAUUGAAAUUGCUAAGGGUAGUAUUAUCUGCAUCUGCAAACAGAAGUUACUUUCUUGGGCAGAAUCUCUUGCCACCAAUCAUCCCAAUGCUAUCAACAGCCCUUGAGAACUACAUCAAGUUUGCAGCUUCUGUUAAUGCCCCUGGUAAUGUGCUUCCAUCAAGCAAAACGUCUAUUGAAAAUUUUGAGUCAAGCUCCGAAGUACUGGAUGGGUCCUUGUGGACUAUCACAACAAUAAUCGGUCAUGUAAGGCCUGAAGGACCGCAACUCCAAAUGUGGGAUAGUUUGUUGGAACUAUUGGUUGCUUACCAGGUUAUUCAUCGGCUCCGAGACCUUUUUGCGCUUUAUGAUAGACCUCAGGUGGAAGGGUCCCCAUUUCCUUCUUCCAUUCUCUUAAGUAUUCGUCUUUUGGUGGUUUUAACAUCAAGACCUGGAACUGAUAGUACCAUUAAUUUUAUGUUACCCGCUAGUGAAAAAUUGGCGGAAGAUGGAAGUGAAAUUGCUAUUUCUCUCCAGUCUAAAGAUUUUAUUGGAACUGGUUUCACUGAAGAUGAUAGUCCGUCAGAAUCUGGGUUAAAUGGGGUUAAAGUUGUACAAAAACAAAAAAUAGCAAUAGAUAAACUGGAUGAUGAAUCGAGUGAGCAAAAGAAAAACGAUGGGAUGAUACCCACUGAUGGAGGUCAGAGGAAGCUGACUGACUGCUCGAUCGAGGCAAAUGGCGUUAAUCUCCGGACCAAUGUUCAGGGCGAACUACAAGAUAGUGAAGUUAUCUCAAAAACUUCUGUAUCCCAAGGGGAUCAGAAACAACCGAUGGAUCUUGUAUCUGACCAAUGGAUAAAAAAUAUUACAAAAUUGAAACCUCCAAUUGCGUACUUACUGUCUGCUAUAUCUGAUACUGGAAUUGUUGGUCUCCUGUCCUUAUUAACAGCUGUUUUGCUUCAAGCAAACAAUAGGUUAUCAUCUGAACAGGCCUCAUAUAUCCUUCCAUCUAAUUUUGAAGAUGUUGCUACUGGUGUGCUGAAGGUGUUGAACAAUCUGGCGUUCUUGGAUCUUAAAUUUAUUCAGCGAAUGCUGGCUAGGCCAGACCUGAAAAUGGAGUUUUUCCAUUUAAUGAGUUUCCUUCUCUCGCAUUGCUCAAGCAAGUGGACAACUCCUAGUGAUCCGAUUGGUCUUCUGCUUCUCGAGUCUUUGUCCAUUCUUGGGCAUUUUGCCUUGUUCCAUCCUGAGAAUCAAGAAGUUCUUCGCUGGGGAAAGAGCCCUACCAUACUUCACAAGGUUUGCGACCUGCCGUUUGUGUUCUUCAGUGACCCUGAAUUGAUGCCAGUCUUGGCCAGUACCCUGGUUGCUGCUUGCUAUGGGUGUGAGCAGAACAAGUCCGUUGUUCAGCAAGAACUAAGUAUGGACAUGCUGGUCUCAUUACUGAGAUCCUGCAAAAAUAAUCUGCCAGUACCAGCUGUUCAAUCCACUUCAGCACAAGAGAACGAUGAUUCUAAUGAAUUUAACCCAAAUGGUCCUGAAACUAGAAAAUCGCUAACGGACGGUACCAUUAGAGGCAGCCGCAAUGUCUGCAGAACCACAAGGACUUCUUUAGGAAGACCUGGAGGAGCUUCCACUGGAAAUAGCAAUAGGAGUAACAGAACAAGAAACCUAAGAGACAACAGAUCAGCUAAAGCAUCUGAUGAAAUAGUUUCGAAGCACAAUCAACCAACAUUAGAAGUUGCAUCUGUGCUGUUGCAUUAUAGAUUCCCUGGCAGUUUCAUUGAUAGAGCCGAGCAGUUCUUUUCGGCCGAUACUCCCACUGCGUUUGAUGAAUAAAAUGAGAAGCAUGAUGCGGGAUUUUCCGGCCGAGCUUUCUGGUCAUGAUGUCAUUGGAAUCAAGAAACAACUAACUGGUUGCAAGAACUUUCAAGACAGUUAACCAUACCAACAAAUUCAAAGGUUAGGGUCAUCAUCAGCACAAUGAAACAAGUUUCUCAGCUCUACUACACAGCAUGAAAGGAAAAAAAAAAUGUGUUAGUGAGGACGGGAUUGAGCAACAAAUUGGUGUAUGUGGUUACAGCAGCCAGCACAGAUUUUCCUGCCAGAAGUCCAACCAUGGAAGACAAGAAUUGCAGCUGGGAUUAAGCAGCCAUUCUGUCUGCAAAAUACUCACAAAAUCCAGCCAUGGAAGACAAGAAUACAAGAUCCUGCUUGAAGAAUAUGAACCAUAAGAUCUUGUCCUCUAAGCUCCUGUGGACUCUCCAGGGCACUCAGUAUUAUUGUCUAAGAAGUCGUCUCUGGAGUAAGCCCUUCAGGGAACCUUCACUAAGGUUAGUUGAUCGUCAUCUGCAUUCUCUUGCAUUCUCUUACGCGCCAUGUACUUGAUUCUGUACUUUGCAAUAUCCCUAUAAUCUAAUCAGGCAAGUUUGUCUGAACUAAGUCUUAAAGUUUGAGAUAUUAGAUUUUGUAAUUUGAAUUUGCUACACAUGUAUGUGUGCUAUGUUGAUGUAGAGUAGAACCACACAACACCUAUUGGACUAGCACCUUUCUGUCGUAUUACUAAUGUCGUUACCAUAAGGUGCCUAACUGAUGUCCAAUCGAACCUCUUUUAGUCUCCUGCUCUAUUGGGUUUUCUCGAACAUGUUUUACGAGGUCAAGAUUAAUUACUUGAACUUUCUCGUUUAGAUCCAGCUUCCUCUUUUCCAG